rnacentral:lncRNA from 10 species
GACAACCAGCCUUGCUCACGAAGCGUCAGCCGUAUCCUUUCUGUGUGCAGUGGGGUGUGGGUUGUGUGGAGCCGCGGUGUCUGUGGAAUUCACAGGCUGGGGCCGGAAUCCAUGGCCCCCGUCGCCGCUGCCACCCCCCAGGUGCUGGGGUGACCUGAUCCAGGGUUGGGGUCUAAGCUGCUGGGGGGUUGGAGUCUUGGGCUCUGGCCCACGUCCGCCUCUGAUUGGUUCUACCACCUGAGCCGGUCACUGACCCUCCAUGGGCCUCAGCUUACCCUAUGGUAAAGUGAGAACUAGGGGGUCAGACUCCUUGAUCACCAAGAUCUCUGACCACAGCCAAGGCUAAGGGAAGCGCAGGAAAACGUGGGGCUCGUCCAAAUUCCCAGCCUCUCUCUGCCCCCUGGUGGACGCCGGCAGCCUAGCACCCGGGGGGAGAUGACCCCGACACUGUGUGACCUCUGCCAAGGCACCCAUCCCUCUGAGCCCCAGUUCCCACCGGUUACAUAGGAAUGAUUAUAAUACCCACCUCUUUGGGCAAUUGUGAGGAGGCAAGGAGAUAAUACAUGCAAAGUGCUUGGAUGGGAUGGGUACUAGCCACUCAACAGAAGGCAGAUCCUAGAAUGGGGAUGGCAAGUCCUGUCAUCAGUGAAGAAUGUAAUGACUGCAAGCUUAGAUGACAUGUCUGUUACUGGAAACCAGAGUUGUUUACUUAAGCUGUAAAUGAACUCAUAGUCCCUGGGAUAAUUAUCUCACCUCUGGAUAAAUAAACUCAACAGCCUUAUGUAUUUUAUUAAUUUUUCUUAAAAAAAAGCUUAAAAUAUUUUUCCUUUGAUUUGUUCUCUUUCUUUGGUUUCUGACUUUAUUAUGUCCUUUCUUUCUGCUUAGGCAUUUGUUUUAUUGCUCUUUUUUCACCAACUCAAACUGAAUGGUCACCUUAACAGUUUUAUUGAGCCAACCUUUAUAAGCUGCAGGAAAUGGAUUUCCUACUCUCCACCUUCUGAUUGGGCUUGACCAACGGGGAGCACUGGCAGAAGACAAGCAUGGGAGGAAAAAGAGAUCAGGGUAUUCAUUUCCCCAGAUCCCUCCCUGUCCUCUACUUAAAGGUCAUAAGUCCAUCCAGGUGUCAUCUCUUAUGUAGGAUUCUAGCGACAUCUUCUCCCCUUGUUC